CAUAGCGACUAUCGUGGCAUAUCAAUAAGCGGAGGAAAAGAAACUAACAAGGAUUCCCUAGUAACGGCGAGUGGAGCGGGAAGAGCUCAAAUUUGGAAUCUUCAAGGUUCUGACCUUGACGAAUUGUAGUUUAUAGAAGUGUUUUCUGUUAGUGGAGUGGCAAAAGUUCUUUGGAAUAGGACAUCAUAGAGGGUGAGAAUCCCGUAUUUGGUCAUUCCUCCUAGCGUUGUGAUACACUUCAACGAGUCGGAUUGUUUGGGAAUGCAGUCCAAAAUGGGUGGUAAAUUUCAUCUAAAGCUAAAUAUUGGCGAGAGACCGAUAGCGAACAAGUACCGUGAGGGAAAGAUGAAAAGAACUUUGAAAAGAGAGUUAAACAGUACGUGAAAUUGUCAAAAGGGAAGCGUUUGACACCAGUGUUGUUUAGUUGAAAAUCAAUUCAAUAGUUUUUGAUUUUAAGUAGUAUUGACUUCAUCAGCUUGCUGCUUUCUUUUCAGGAAUUAUUGAAUGCACUUUUCAGUUAACAAGUCAACAUCAAUUUCUUUUGUUGUAAAAGGGUAAGAGGAAGGUGGCUUACGCUUCGGCGUAAGUGUUUAUAGCCUUUUACCUCUGCAAUCGGAGAGAUUGAGGACAGCAGCGUAGACUCUUCGGGGUUAGAUACACUUGUGCUAAGCUAUAGCCUUGUAUAGACAACUUGUUGACUAUGCUCAGUCAUGUAGCUUACUCGCUUGUGCUAUUUUACCUACGCUUAGGAUGUUGACGAGACUGUCGAUCUC
rnacentral:rRNA from 1 species